UACGUAGGGUCCGAGCGUUGUCCGGAAUUAUUGGGCGUAAAGAGCUCGUAGGCGGUCUGUCACGUCGACUGUGAAAUCCCGAGGCUCAACCUCGGGCCUGCAGUCGAUACGGGCAGACUAGAGUUCGGUAGGGGAGACUGGAAUUCCUGGUGUAGCGGUGAAAUGCGCAGAUAUCAGGAGGAACACCGGUGGCGAAGGCGGGUCUCUGGGCCGAAACUGACGCUGAGGAGCGAAAGCGUGGGGAGCGAACAGG
rnacentral:rRNA from 1 species